UACGGAGGGGACUAGCGUUGUUCGGAAUUACUGGGCGUAAAGCGCACGUAGGCGGUUUUGUAAGUCAGGGGUGAAAUCCCGGGGCUCAACCUCGGAACUGCCUUUGAUACUGCAAAUCUCGAGUCCGGAAGAGGUGAGUGGAAUUCCUAGUGUAGAGGUGAAAUUCGUAGAUAUUAGGAAGAACACCAGUGGCGAAGGCGGCUCACUGGUCCGGUACUGACGCUGAGGUGCGAAAGCCAGGGGAGCGAACGGG
rnacentral:rRNA from 1 species